UUCACCUCCCUAACUCUGAGAAAAUCCCAUACCACAGACACAGGGAACUUUAAUACCCCACAAUACUAAAGUUGUGUGUGAUUUAACAGCCCCUGUGCCCUGUUCCAAGGCAUUCAUCACAUCCUAAGGCCCAAAUCUCUGUGGGGUACAACUUUAGAAAGGAGAUCGAGUUUCAUGCCUGUGCCUUGGAGAUCAUUUCUUGAUCCUUGUGAUGGACAUUUGCCCCACUUCCAUACCUACUCUGUACCCCACAAGGCAUUAAAGUUCUCAAAUGUUCUGACCUGGACCUGGAACGUAGCUCCCCAAAGAGCAGACAUGCAGUUCUCCAGCAGACUGGUUGGAGCAUGGUCUGAGGUGAGUCAGUCCCAGGCUGGAGGCUAAGGACAAUAGUGUCUGUUGGCCCCACUCUCAUACAAUGGAGCUUCUUACCAGAAUAUCUUAGCCUCCCUUGAUCCCUGAACCGGUGGGGACUCACUUUUUCUAUGUGUUAUAGUGUGUUAAAACCAGGCACAGCAUUAAUGCAUGGUAGUGACAACACAUGUCUAGCACAACCCCUCCUGAAGGCGGCUCCCCAUGGACUUGGCAAGCCUUCUGUUCUCAACAUGUGGUGCCAUCUUGGAGCGAUCACACUGAGGAAGAGCACAGAACAAGGGCAGGAGCAGGUGCUGGAUCCCACAGAGACUUUUUCUACCCUCCUUUUCCACUCCAAUCUUCUUUGGAACUUUGAAUGGAAUCACAGGAGGAGGCACUGCACGUGUAGCUGCCCAAAGUCUAGAUGUCACUGUUCUCUGCUGUCACCCAAAAGGAGUGAACAGCACCUGGACAGGAGAUGGCCCAAGGCUUACAUGUGUAUAACGUGCCACUGUCUCAGGGACUGACUCUCAGUGAACCCUGAUGUCUUGAUCCACUCAGCACACCACCAUUCAGUAUUGAAAACUGGGGUUGAGUGAGUCCCUUGUACAUGGCCAGGACCUGAAUCCGCAGGUGGUCAAGUCUCUCUGGGCUGCUAAGGUAAGAACUCACCUCAGCUUUGGUGCCUGUGGGGCUGAGAGUUCAGCCCUAGAAAAGUCCAGAGAGAAGUGGCUGGAGCUGGGGCAGCUGUCCAGGAAAGCUGGUUCCAGAGGCUUCCUCAGGCUGUGAGGCCCAUCUGCCUGCACCAGGCUUGCUAUACAGACCUCUGCCAGGUCCUCUGGUGACUGAGCUCCCAUCUGUGGUGAGAUAGUGGGGAGACAUGGAAUUGAUGUCCUGCACAUGGCAUCUCGGGGGUUUGGGGCUGAAGCAAAGCCCACACUCUAAAUGGUCCACAGGGCUUCAUGGUACAAGGCUCACAGGAGGACCCCAACAGAAAGGGGAAUUUCAUAUUGAAAGUUACAUUUCAUGAGGGACACUUAGGAAUACUAGCAUGCUCAGUUCACCUUGAUAGAGGAGAGGCUGAAUAGAACUCUAUGCGUGAACAAAACUAUGAGUAAUAAGAUGGUCCCCAUUUUAGAAAUGAGAAAAC
rnacentral:lncRNA from 1 species